UACCUUUUCAAAUUUCCAAAAGGUAUAUAAAAUAAAAAAAAUCCAAAUGUUGACCUUCUUGGCGUGGGGUGCAAGAGUUUAAUUAACCACAUAUAUAAAAGUUAAUUACCAUUAACCACACUUAAACUCAGUGAUCCAUUGCUUGUCCUCACAAGAGGAAACUUUAACAACAUGGAGAUUAAGGAAGACAAUUCAGAACAUGUUUCAAAACAUGUUCAUCAAUUCUACUUUGUUAAGCUUUGGCCAACAACUCCAGAUUCAAUUUGUAAAAUCAAAAAGGAAGAGAACAUAGUAAUGAAAAUGAAACAAGACAUUUGUAAAAUCUCAUCUAUUAUUGCAAAGAAAGCGGUAAGAAGAGACUCUUUGUAUGAUAGAUACCAUGGUGUGUCGACGGAAGAGACGAUACUAAGCAAUUUAAAUAUGGCUCUUGAUGAAUUGAAUUUAAGGAAUGUUAAAGUAGAAAAUGGAGGAUGGUUUGGAGAAAAGCUUGAUAGAAAAUCUUUGAAUUAUAAGAAGCUACAUGGUAGCAAAAGUUUGGGUGAGGAGAAAAGAAUUUUAAGGGAUAUAAAGAUUCAACAAAAAGAUGUUGCUUCAUUCAAAUCACUAGAAGUGCUUAAUAAAUCGUUAUGGGGUAAGCAUUAUAUUUAUCACGGUUGGGAGAAGCUCGUCAGAGAAAUCGAACAAUUCCAAAACCAACCUAUGGAGAGAGCUUCCAAGUAUGACAACUUGAAGAAAACUAUAAAAAAUAAAAUCAAGCGUUCUUAUGAUUAUAAAUCUUUGAAUAACAAAAGAGAAUGUGGGACAGAAAUUAUCACUGGUGUGAAAAAAUUUGAAGCCAACAAAAGAGACUUAUAUCCUUUGAAUGCAAAAUUGACAAGGAAGUAUAAUAAAAAGGAUGAAGCAAAUCAAAGGAUUUUGAAAUUGAAAAAAUUGUAUCAUGAGGAGAUUCACGACUACUACCAGUAUUGUUCACUUAUAGAUAAGGUUCAUCAGUUGGCUGAAGAAAAAGAUGUAGCAGCCCUUGAAGAGAUGUCAAGUUCAGAGGGUGCGAAGUUUAUGUUAGAAUGGAACAAUAAUAAAGCUUUCCGAGAAGAUUAUGAGACGAAGGUUCUGCGAUCAUUAGAGGGACGGCAACUAAGUAGAGAUGGGAGAAGAAGACCCGAUAAAUCAUGUUGUUGAACUUGAAAUUUCGGAACAACAGAAUACAUAAUAUCUUUUAGUAAUGCAUGCUUACAUCAAAGAUCAAACACGACGAAAAAGAGGAGUCAAAAUAUAUUAAAUACAAUUUGGCGUUCAAAAAAGAAGCUAGCUGAAGCAAGAAUUGCAGUCCUUCAUGAGAUGUCAAGUUCAGAGGUUGGGAUGUUUAUGUUAGAAUGGAACAAUAUAAAGCUUUCUGAGAUGGUGAGAAGUACUUUCUGCUAUCAUUUGAGAGACGACAACUAUGUAGCGAUGAGAGAAGAACUAUUAAAUCAUGCAGUUGAAAUUUGAAAGACUUUUAAGAGUAAAUGUUAUUAUGUUGAAAUUUCACAACAAGUAUGAAGUAUCUUUCGGUAAUACAUCUUAGAAAUGAGUAUUGAGUUUAACUCAACCUUACAAAAUCGGCUUGUAAGGUGAGGAUUGCCUCCAGUAUAUAAACACUUAGUCAGAUCAUCUCUCAACCGAUGUGAGGCUUUUAAAACACCCCCUCACGCCCAACACUAUUGGACUUGGUGUGUGGAUAUAAACAGUAGGUGGCCCGAUAGAGGAAACCUGAUAACAAGUGGUCCAACGGAUCAUGGAGAGGCUCUGAUACCAUCUUAGAAAUGAGUAUUGAGCCUAACUCAACCUUACAAAACCGGCUUGUAAGGUGAGGAUUGCCUCUAGUAUAUAAACACUUAGUCAGGCCAUCUCUCAACCGAUGUGAGACUCUUAAAAAUACAUACAUCAAACUACCCAUGACAAAACCAAUUGUUAGUUGGUUCAGUGGUGAUUGAAGCUGAACUUGGAAGGGAGGACCGCGGUUCGAUCCCCCGCAACUGUGAUCGGGAGGGGGCUGGAACCACUUGAUGCCAGAUUUGACUCCCGAACCAGAUUCAACUAGUGGUGAAAAACAAAAAAAACUACCCGUGACAAUAAUAUACGUUAUAUCAUACCUGUAAUAAUAUGAAUUUAAUUUAUAUACACCAUCGGUGUAAAGUUAUUUUACACGCAACUAAUAAUAUAUUGAUAGAUCAUAUAAUGUAUUUUAAAACAUAUGACAUGUUACAUUAUUGGA